GGCGCGGUGGCGAAAUGGUAGACGCGUAGGUCUCAAAAACCUAUGAGGGCAACUUCAUGUGGGUUCGACUCCCACCCGCGCCACAA
rnacentral:tRNA from 1 species